CCGGGGACCCCCGCAUACCUGGGAGGAGGAGACGUAGACGGGGUUCAGGACUGAAGAUCAACCUGUGUGUAGUAGGUUUAAGACAAAUGUGCAGUGUGGAACCCAGGAGUUCCUCCAGAGGAACCUGCUGCCCCCCUCCCUCCCAGCGGGACAGAGCGUCACAUACACACCGGAGACGUCGAUAUCUGUAGGAUGACAGAAAAAGAAAACAGAAGCACCACUUUACAUCACAUCACACACACUGUAUUGUGUCGUAUCAGGUAUCCACUGCCGUUUAAUGCUCAGUGUGUGAUAUUUAGUGCCAUCUAGUGGUGAAAUUGCCGACAUCAGCCAGCUGACCCCCUGCCACCCACCCCUUCCACAUGUAAAUAUAAUAUACCAUCAUUUACCAUAACCUAUAAUAACCUAUAAACAUCAGAUGCAUCUGUCAUAAAAUGGAGGAGGAUGGUUUUUCUGAGUUAUUGUGGAAAGAUGGUGGAGUGUGUGGAAUCUGCUCCCUGUAGUUAAAAGCAUAAACUUGAAUAUUAUAUUCAUUUGUGCAUUCAGACCCUCCUAAAUUUUAAUCAUUGAAACUUUAAUACAGAGUUUACGUGAUGGAAAAUCAUCCAAAACAAUGAGAAAUGCCAAUGCGCAAAAUAUGUAAAAUACAUUUACAUUAAAUUGUAGGAUAAAUACUUUUUUCUUCUGUCAUUCUGUUUGAAUAAGUAUAACUUUGUAUUUAAAUUGUAAUAUAAAUGCUUUCUUUUUGUGUAUUUCUGGAAUUAAUGCUCAUAUCCAGUCAGACUGUCAUGUGAAUUGCAGUAUUGGAACAGCAUUCCAAAAGUGUUGAAGUGUACUGAAUAUUUCUUUCCCCCACUGAGCCUCCGUCGGCUGGUCUCGCUGUUGAGCUGGUGUUGUUGGAGCUGUACAGCCUGGAGUUGAGUGACCAGCUUGGUGUUAAUGUCCACA